rnacentral:lncRNA from 1 species
CUAUAUUAGAUCGAUCAUUUCAUUUGUUCAAUUAAAUCGAUCAAUAAUAUUUUAAUUUUAAAUUUUAAACUAAUUAUUUAUUUAAUAAAUUUAUAAAUUAAUUAUAAAAAUAUUAUGAAAUAUAGUAGUUAAAUCAGUAAAAGUGCUAUUGAUUGACUCACAUCAAACAAAUUAAAAAAUUAAAUAAUAAAAUUAAAAUUUUAAGAAUUUAAAUAACUUAAUUAAAAUAAUUUAUAAUUUAAAUAAACUUUAUAUAUUUUUGU